rnacentral:misc_RNA from 1 species
UUUUUUAACUGAAUUAUUAUUUGAUAAAAAUAAUUUAAGCAUGAAACUUUACACAUGGUUAUAUAUGUAUAGAGUGAUCAUUCUUGCAACACAAAAGAACCCUCUAUUCCUUUCUCCAUCAAUUGUGGAGGGGGGAAAUUCAAAGGAGAAAACAUGUUAUUAAUACUAGAGGCUGGUGCAGGCUUGAACUCAUAAGGUCCUUCCUUCGCUCCCCACACCUGAUUUCCAUCAUCAUCGUAACCCCUAUCCCAGGUAUGUAUUUCACUGUUCUUUAAAAUUGCAAGUUCUGAAGUGCAGUAGGUUGCUCCAUUCCAUGAAUUUGGGAAUCCUCCAGGGGGUGUAGAACCUUCAUACAAGCAGCGUUUUCCACGGUCACAGCGUUUAAGAUGUA